GCUAAGCAUGGUGGUGCACACUUGUAGUUCCUGCUACUGGGAAGGCUGAGGCUGGUGGAUUACUUGAGCUCAGGAGUUUUGGGAUGCAAUAGACCUAAAAGGUGAUGUUGAGUCUGCACUGUUGGGUACCAACAUGGUGAGCCUGGGGAGCAAAGGGCUACGAGGCUGCUUAAGAAGCAACCAACCAGCAAUGAUUGGAAAUGGAGCAGGAAAAUGCUUCCGUGUCAGUCAUCAGUGGGACUGGACCCUAAGUUACCACUGCUCUUUCAGCUGGGGAAAGGUAGGGAGAUCCAGUCUUAA
rnacentral:SRP_RNA from 1 species